rnacentral:lncRNA from 1 species
UUUUAGUUUGAAACCAGACUUGUGCAUGUGCCUUUAUUAAAUAUGUUGCUUUUUUGUCUUAAUAGAUGUUGUAAAGCACUUCAAAGUUGACUGAUAGAAUGAGCUACGUAAUCGGCCUCAAAAUAAAUCGCCUUGCUAAAGAAGCAGAGAAAUAUCAAGCAUCACAUCAGUGGAGGGAUGAGUUUGGGAAUAACGAUAUAAUCUACUACAACGCAAAAGAUGAUCAGAGCGAUGUAAGUAGUAAAUUUCCUUUUGUUCCAUUGCUUAAAUUGUAAGAAAAUAUAAAGGGAUUGAAAAGUU